GUGGCCUAGUUGUUAGAGCGUCCGCCUCAGAAGCGGGAGGUCGCGGGUUCGGAUCCCGGUCGAGUCA